UAUAAGUUAGUGUAUGGUGCACGAUAGCCUUUGAAGCUACAAGAUAAAGUUCAACUCUUUCACUUAUAA
rnacentral:tRNA from 1 species